rnacentral:rRNA from 1 species
GAUGAACGCUGGCGGCGUGCCUAAUACAUGCAAGUCGAGCGAACGGACGAGAAGCUUGCUUCUCUGAUGUUAGCGGCGGACGGGUGAGUAACACGUGGAUAACCUACCUAUAAGACUGGGAUAACUUCGGGAAACCGGAGCUAAUACCGGAUGAUAUUUUGAACCGCAUGGUUCGAAAGUGAAAGACGGUCUUGCUGUCACUUAUAGAUGGAUCCGCGCUGCAUUAGCUAGUUGGUAAGGUAACCGCUUACCAAGGCAACGAUGCAUAGCCGACCUGAGAGGGUGAUCGGCCACACGGGAACUGAGACACGGGCCAGACUCCUACGGGAGGCAGCAGUAGGGAAUCUUCCGCAAUGGGCGAAAGCCUGACGGAGCAACGCCGCGUGAGUGAUGAAGGUCUUCGGAUCGUAAAACUCUGUUAUUAGGGAAGAACAUAUGUGUAAGUAACUGUGCACAUCUUGACGGUACCUAAUCAGAAAGCCACGGCUAACUACGUG